rnacentral:rRNA from 1 species
AUACGUAGGGGGCGAGCGUUGUCCGGAAUGACUGGGCGUAAAGGGCGUGUAGGCGGCCGAUUAAGUCUGGAGUGAAAGUCCUGCAUUCAAUGUGGGAAUUGCUUUGGAGACUGGUUGGCUUGAGUGCGGAAGAGGUAAGUGGAAUUCCCAGUGUAGCGGUGAAAUGCGUAGAGAUUGGGAGGAACACCAGUGGCGAAGGCGACUUACUGGGACGUAACUGACGCUGAGGCGCGAAAGCGUGGGGAGCGAACAGGAUUAGAUACCCUGGUAGUCCACGCGGUAAACGAUGAAUGCUAGGUGUUGCGGGUAUCGACCCCUGCAGUGCCGGAGUAAACACAAUAAGCAUUCCGCCUGGGGAGUACGGCCGCAAGGUUGAAACUCAAAUGAAUUGACGGGG